CAAAUUGGUACCACCAAAACAGUGGUACAGAUGGGGCCACAGGAGUAAAGAGACAGUGAUGCAUUUCCUACUGGAGUCUGUCUCCUCUGCCCUUCCCAGGGAUGGCAAGGAUCAGGCCAGGGCUCCCACAUUAAGCCUAGACCUUCUCUACCCAGCUCCCUGCACCUCUCUGCUGCCCACACCUCAAGGGCAAGCAGAAGCAGGUACAUCAACGCCUUCCCCAGCUGGAGUCAACCUGGACAGCAGGAUUUAGGGAGAUGGGGGUAUGAAGGCAGCCCGUGUGGGGCUGGUCACAAAGGUCACUGCAGGGAUGGAGAGAGAGGAGAGGUGGAUCAGGUGAGAUCAAGAAGAGAGCUAAGUCUGGAGGGACAAGAGCCAGAGCGCUCUGGACGCCAACCUUAGGCUGGUCUGAAGGAAACAGAGUUUGCUUAAGGAGUGAAUAUCCAGAAGAUGAAGUUCGGGUACCGGCUUCCCCGAUACGAUAGAACUGAAGCUUGGAGAUGAGGUGGCUGGUAGCCUGCACAGGUGAUUCUAGACCGCAUCAAGUUGACAGCUGAAACUCACCCAUCACUGGGGAGGUGAGCGGAGCAAACCCCUUGUAAGGAUGGGAAUCAGCUCUUCCUCCGCCAGCCAGGGUGCUGUUAUAAGUGCCUGACCACAGACACCAAAAGCAUUCAGCAAGGACAAGUUCUUCAUCCACGAUGUUCUCAAGACCAUGCUCCGGGCGUUCUGUUACAAUGGUGGUGACCACAGCCACCAGAGCAGCAGGUCCUGUCCACUGAGGGCUUUUCCUGGUUCAGGUGGUACCCCACACAUGGGCUGUCAUCAUUCCGGGACAUCUAAGACACAGAUCCUAUUUCUCGGUGCCUACCUUACAGUAGGUAAAAUGAGGCUCAGAGGCUGUGGGCUCUUCCCAGUCAGUGUUGGAAGAGGCCAUGGAGAGCAGAGCCAGCCUUAAAGCUUUGUCUCAAUGACCCAGAAGCCAUCCCACUGUCCUGCCCCCAUGGAUCCUAUGGCAACCCGCAGUGGCAGUCUUAAGGCCACACCACAGGUGAAGAGACCAGAGUCCAUACAGCUGGUCCAAGCAGGCCAACCUGAGCCCAGCACAGCUCUGGGCAUUCUCCCAUUUUGUCUCCAAUCCUGGAGGUGUCAGAUGGAGGCUAGGCCAGUACCUUGAAGCCCAAUAAAGAAGAAGGCUGACCUCCAA